rnacentral:lncRNA from 1 species
GCCGCCUACGUCCUCACCGUUCUCUCCUCCUCCUCCCUUCCCGCCCACUCUGUCUUAUACGACGUCUUCCUCACCUACCCCCUCGGCCGCUCCCUCAUCCUCUCCCCCUUCCCGCCGCCUUCCCCGGGUCCCACCCUGGCCUUCGACCUCGUCCAGGAGAUCUACCCGGGCGACCCCUACGCCGAUGUGGCGAAGGAGGUGCUCCCCACCUUCCACGCCUACGCCCGCUCCGGCGCCGCCGCCGGCCCGGCUGCCUACGCCAACUACGGCCGCCUGGAGGACUUUGCCGCUCUGAGGGCCGCGGGUGUGAACGUCACCGGCGCGGUGGUCCUCGCGAGGUACGGUAAGAUAUAUCGCGGGGACAUCAUAAAGAACGCGAAGGACGCCGGGGCGGCGGCGGCGGUGGUGUUCACGGACGCCAAGGACUACGGCGGCGGCGGGCGGGGGCGGUUCCCGGAGGGACCAGGGAUGCCGGCGAGCGGUGUGCAGGUAGGGACCACGUCCCGGGGGGUUGGCGACCCGACGACGCCCGGGUGGGCGAGCACCCGCGGGUGUGAGCGGUGGAGCGCUGCGGAGGUGGCGGCGAGCGGGCUGGUGCCGGGGAUCCCAUCGCUGCCGGUGUCGGCCCGGGACGGGGAGGCGAUCCUGAAAACCAUCGGGGGACAGGUGGCGGCCGAUGAUUGGCAGGGCGGCGAGGGGGCGCCCCUGUACCGGCUCGGGCCGGGUCCUGGUUUCCUCAACCUCACAUACAUUGUAAGUUGGAGUGUCACUCGGGAUCAUCUGAUUGAUGGUGAUCUCCUAGGUUUCUUCUGGAUUAUCGCUCUCUUUUUAAUUUUAUUAUCUUUUUUUGGACUUGUAUGGUGGUAUGUUUACUGAAAUGUUACCGGCGGCCUCAUCACUUACGGAAAUGUUAGGGAGAUGAAACAUUGCCAACAAUCCAAAAUGUCUUUGCGGUGAUCCAGGGGGAGGAAGAACCUGACCGGUAAGUUUUGUCGCUUGUAUUAUUUUAAAAUGGCAUCGUUAUCGUUAUUUGGGGUUAGAUUUAGUUUUCUUAUAGUUUAUUAAAACAAGAUGACUUAAACAAAUGUCAGGAUCUUCUGACUGUUUGUGGUGGGUGGAGAGUAUAAAACAAAUUUCUUUGUAAGUUAGCCAAAAAGUAAAAAACAGAACGCAGGAUGGGAGGAAUUAUGUAAUUAAUACUUCAAUUAGAUCGAGAUGCUGCCUGGAUGAUGGAAGGGAGCACAAAAAGAAAAAAAAAUAAUUCAGCAAUGCUUAUGGAAAUCGCAUGCAUGCAUUUGUCAAGUAAAACAGAUGAGAUUUGAGGUUUUGGCGCAAGCUUUAUUGGAAUUUGGAAAUGAAUCUUAUGAUUGGACUUUAAUAGCGGAGCAUGUUUAAUGAUCUAGAGAGAAUUUGGUGGUCAGUUGAGGAAAUUAGGAUGAAUUUGAUCCAUAUCCCUGUCAAAUUGUUGAGUGUGGUUUUGUGGUUGAGCACUUGCUUUGGGCUGCUAAGAUCAUUGGAAUAUGUAGUCUGAUUGACCAUUCUAAAAGUCAUGUGGAUGUCUGUUUGGAGGAGAGACUAAAGACUUACUGUGCCAAAAUUUCUGAAGAGCCUUAGUAGGAUAUUAAGUGCAUGCUUGAGGGUUUGUUUACACUGUCAAAAAUAAUUUUAAAUCUAAAAAUAAAAUUUUAAUUAUUUGGUUCCAAUUCAAAAAUAAUUUUAGAUCGUUGGAGAUUGUACGAAAUAUAGUUUGCAUAAAGCUAUCCUUCUCUCAUUUUCAGUACACAGUACAUACGGCACUGUAAAUUAAAAUGUCAUAUUCGCAGAGAGUUAUUAUUUUUUUCAAAAAAUAAUGUGUUGCCUCUCAGCAUCAAGUUUGCAGAAAAUUAUUAUUUUUUAAAAAAUAAUGUGUUGCCUCUCACUACCCCUCUCUCCUCCGUUUCUUUCCGACUUGAGGCUCACUUUUUUCUGAAAAAAGAUUAGCCUAACAAAGUGGUAAUAAUCACGUCUCUCUCUCCUUAGUAGCAACGAGAUGUCCAUUUCCAAUCUUUUGUUAUUAAAAAAAAUCGGUGCAAAUGUUUGUCUUUAAUGACCACUUUCAUUUCAUUAAUAAUUAUAUUAGCUUUUUGUGCCCAACAAAAAUUCGAACAAAAGAAGAUUGUCGGUGACAAUAUUAAGGCCCUAUUUGAGGAGCUGUUGGCAGUAGAACUUUUGGCAGUAGAGCUACUGAAAGUAGAGUUUUCUGAAGUAGAGGUUUUAUAAAAAGCUGUUUGUUAUUUGAUAACUAUAUUUCUAAAAUGCUGUGGCAUUUUAACAUGUGUUUGAUAAACAAACUGAAAAAGUACUUUUGUAUGACAAAAUUACUAUAAAGGACAUUGCAUAGUAUUAUACAACAGAGUAUAAUAAAAUAUAACACAUAUUAAUAUAUAAAUAUAUGAUAUAGUAUAAUAUUACUAUAAUGUAAUAUAAUAUUAUUAUAAUAUAGUAAUAUAAUAUUGUAUACUAUAGCAUAAUAAUUUAAUAAAUAUUAAAUUAUUUAACAUAACAUAUCAAUAUAUUAUGAUAUUAUGUAAUAUAAUAUUAUAUUUAUAGUAUAAUACAAUAAUAAAGAUAAAAAAUAUUAUAAUUAUUAGCGUACAUUAAUUUUUCAUAAUAUAGCAUAAUAUUAAAUUAUUUAACAUAACACAUUAAUGUAUUAUGAUAUAAUGUAAUAAAAUAUUAUAUUUAUAGUAUAAUAUAAUAAUAGGAAACAAAAAUACCUAUUCUUGCAUGGAAGGGAGUCUGAUUCAUGGCUAGGGUUCUUUGUUAGGGCUCUAGCAGAUUUUUAGAUUUAUAAAGAAACAAAGUAUGUAAUUGUUAUAUUUUAUUAUGGGUAUUUUGGUCAAAAAAAACUUCUCGAAAAAAUCGCAAAACAGCUUUUUCGAAAAAUUUCAAAAUAGAGCUUCUUCCAAAAAGCUGUUUUUAGCUUUCUGAAAAAACUAAAACAACUUUCCAAAAUUUUUACCAAACGUUCUUUUCAUCCAAAAGUACUUUUGGAGUGCUUUUUGGCCCUCCAAAAACUCCUCCAAACGGGGCCUAAAUUAUCAUUAAAACUCAUUUUUAAUCAUUAAUUUCUUAUCAAAUUGUCAUUUUUGGGCCAUUUAGCGAUAAUUUUUUGAUCUUUGGAGACAAAUAAAAUCGUCACUAAUAUUUAUCUUUAACAACCAUUUGUGUUUCGUCGCUAAAUGUAAUAGUUCUUCUAACGACUUUGUAUUUUGGGCAGUAAAAUUUUAAGCACAGGUCUUUAGGGACCGUGUAGCGAUGAAAGUAAAAUACUUUAUGAUCGAAUUUUUUGCCAAUAAAAAUCUGUAGUUUUGUAGUGUGUAUUAUUUGCCUAGUAUCAUGGAAAGCAGUUCAAGAUGUACGAUAGUUAUUUUUAUCCUUCAAACUAGCACAUAUGAAUUACAGCAAUAAAAGUUGGCCUACUUUAGCAUCAUCCGGCGAUACCUGCAGGUAUGUUCUCCUAGGUAAUCAUCGUGAUGCAUGGACGUUUGGAGCGGUUGACCCCAGCAGUGGAACUGCAGCUUUACUUGAGGUAACUCUAACCUCUUACAGUCAAUACUUCAUCCAAAAACUGUAUCAGUUUCAGUUAAAUAAUCUCAGGAUGAAUCAUCGCCUCAUUUCACUGAUUAAUGUCAUGUUUUGACAUUUGUUUUGACGUAAGCUUGUUAUCUAAAUUCUUUUUUCUAGGUAGCUCAGAGGUUUGGGAAGCUGCAAAAGAUAGGAUGGAGACCUCGACGAACCAUUAUUUUAUGUAAUUGGGAUGCAGAAGAGUACGGCUUGGUCUCUCUCUCUCUCUCUCNNNNNNNNNNNNNNNNNNNNGCAGAAGAGUACGGCUUGGUCUCUCUCUCUCUCUCUCUCUCUCUAUCUAUCUAUCUAUCUAUCUAUCUCAGUCACACAUACACACAUAUGCAUGCACGGUCACGCAUUCAGUUACGCAUUUGUAACAUAGCUGGUAACUUGACAUAUUCCAUCACCUCUGUACUUUUCUGCAGAUAGGAUCGACAGAUUGGGUUGAAGAGAACAGGGAGAUGUUAGCUUCAAGAGCUGUUGCCUAUCUGAAUGUUGAUUGUGCAGUCUCUGGUCCUGGAUUCCAGGCCUCUGCAACCCCGCAACUUGAUGAGCUGCUCAAACAAGCAAGUGAAAAGGUGGAUGGCAUUGUCAUUUCCUGUCAAUUUUUUUUGACUUAACAAACAUAAACUUAAACUUAGAAUAGCAUCAACAUUCAAGAAACAUUAGUUUAAGUGGACAGUUGAUGGACAGUUGUAGAUAUGUGAGUAAUUUUGUGCUUAUGGUAAUAGGAGUCUUUGACUCUUGACAAUAGUAGUGUGUAUGAGCUGAUGAAUAUUAGAAAUCAUUGCGAAAGAGGCAUUGCAUUUAUAUCACCAGCCUUUUCUCUGUAUAAAACCUUAAUAACGUUUGUUAUUUUUUUAUUGUUAAGGUUCGAGAUCCAGACAAUUCCUCUCAGACAUUAUAUGAAUCAUGGAUUGCAUCUAAUUAUUCUUCGCUGGUGAGUAGUUAAAUUUGUUUCUUUGCUUCCGUGUUGAAAGUUGUAUUUAACUUUGAUGUAUUUCCAGAGAAAAUAAUAUGUAUUUAUAUUUAUCCCCAGUUAAUUUUAGCUUUGAUACUUGAUAACUGAAAACCAACUUUUCCCUUAAUCCAUUGAAAGAUUGGGAGAUUAGGUGGUAGAGGAUCAGAUUUUGCGGCUUUUGUCCAACACGUCGGAGUUCCAUCAGUUGACAUGAUUUUUGGAGGAGGUAACUUUCUUGUCUGUCCAAAAGUCUGAAUCUCUUUUCAUGAUCUCACUUCCUAAUUUUCUUUCUUCUAUCGUAGAUACUUUUCAGCACGCUUUAGCUACUAGCUAAUAAUUUUAGGAAAGAGAUUCUAUGCGGUACACACCUGCGUUCUCCCCCUGUAUGAGAAAUAACUUCUCCAUAAAAUCUAUGCUUUCAAAGCUGCCUUAUGGGUUGAUUGCUUCCCCAAUACAUAUAUUAUUGAGAGAGAGAUCGGAAAGAACACUAACGAAGAAAGUACUCUACUGAUGGAAUUAAAUAUUCCAGUAGCUAUAGUCAUAAAUGAUAGAUGGACAUUGUACGUAUUGACCCAUGCAGUACUGCAACUAAUGCAGUACUGCUUGCUGGCCAUUUUGUGCUCGGGGGUUUGAAAGCGUGUUCGGCUGGGAUAUAAUACUAUACUUAGAAGUUUCAUUGGUAUACUUGAACUGUUGAACAUCGAACUAACCAUUAUCUUAUAGAUAUAAAGUCACCACGACGUACUCCAAGAAUAUACUGUGGGGCACUUUUAUUACAAUUUUGCUCUCACAAGUAGUUCUAAUUCCAGACAUGUCCUUCUGUGUUAUACGGCCCUUGCGUUCCUUCGCUUGCUUUUGUUUUUUUCUUUUUUAUGCCUUCCCUUGGUGCUUCCAAGUUUAAGCAUCAUGUGUUUGACAAAUUGUUUCACCCAUUAGGAUGAUGGGGUUGGUGUCUAGGAUUCUAGGUCAGGGUGGUCAUUCUUUGAUAACUGGCUAUGUUUUGCCCUAUUGUUUCAGGGACGUGUUGUUUUUAGCAACGGAUUGGCCCAACCAAACUGGCCAUUUUGUUAGAGUGGGCAGGAUUUCGGUUUUGGUCCCUUCUAGUUGAGGUCAGGAUCUUCAAGCAUUCAUUGUUGGGAAAGCAUUAUAUGCUGGGUUGGUUUUGUGAACUAAUGCUGACCGUCAUGUGUUGGAUGAUUUUUCCCCUGCGUUCCAAGGGUUUGUGUAGAUUGUUUUGGAGCAUCAUUUGUUUGAUGAAAUGUUUCUUCGGUUAAAAUAGUUAAUUAUUUUUUGUUCGUUGCUGAAGUUUGGGUUCAGUAUGGAUAUGGCUUAUAUUUGGCUUCCUGGGUUGAGCCUUGGCUCGGUACAUGGAGCCAUGUGCUGGCGUGGAGGAUAUUGAGAGGAACCAACCUUAUCUUGCUGAGCUGAGCCUUGUGCUAGUUCGUGGUGACUGAGAAAGACUAAUUAGGCAUUUGACAUUGUGGGAUGUUUGUGCCAACUAUUUCUCCUUUCCUUAGAUAGUAGUUUGAAAACAGCAAUUUUACCUUUGGUUUAAUGUGGGCAUUGGCCAGUUAAGAAUGAGGUAACUCUUAUAAUUAAUUAGUCGUUUUAGCUACUUAAGGUUGUUUUAUUGUGAAUUCUUGAUGGGCAACAAGUAUAAAUGUGCUAUUCUUCUGAUCUCAUAUCAAUUUUUUCCUCUUGUAGUUUGGAUGGCCAGUACUUUAGACUGACAAUUGCUGCAGGAAUCUAACAUUUGCCUUCUAUUUAUGCUUGGAGUAUGCAGCGAUCUAUGGGUUUUUCCCUAAAUUCCAUAUGAGAGACUUUUUUCCCCAAUGAUUAGUUCUGCAUUCAUAUUUUCCCUUUUAGAUGCUCGAGUAUUUUAGAUUUAUAAUACAGUCUGUGUUAUUUUCUAUUUUGGUUGUUUAAUGUUUUUCUUUUUAAAAUUUUGCGUGGUAUUUCCAUUCAUUCAAUAAGCAAAAUGAGAGAGAACUAUGGACAUCCCUUCAUAAAUCAGAGCUGGAGAAGAAUCAUAAAACUUUUUUAUUUGAAAAGUGAGGUUGGAAUUGUAAUUCUAAACUCAUUUUUUAUAAAUGAAAGUUUAUGAAAGUUUAAGAUUAGAAAGUUUGAAAAAGUACAUAAAGGUUAUAAUUCAUAAACUUUGAAAGUUGAAACAACAAUUCAGAUUAAUUGUCAUUAUUUUUCUAAUCUUAUCAUAUAGCACAUAAAAUGGCUGCCAACUAAAUAGAGAUACAUGAUAACCUCUUCAUCAUUAUAUUCCCAAAUUCUUUGUUUUUCACCUAAACAAACUCCAACGCAUAGCAUGGCAGCUUUUGCUAGUUGUACAAUAUGCACUCAAACAAGUGUGUAUGUGUGUAUUUAAUUUUAAAUUUCUAUUUUUAUUUCUGAAUUAUAAUGAAUUAAUUUUAAUUUUUAAUUAUUUAUAUAUCAUUUAUAUUGAAAAUUUUUUAAAAAAUAUCAACUGCAUAAAUGCCUGCAUAUUGCAGAUGCUUUUUAGGGCGCUGCUUAUUUACAACUUGCGCUUUUUUUCCUUGAAAAAUAUCAUUUAUGAGUAUGAGUUUGCAAAGUGCUAGUUUAGAAAAGAAAUGUUCAUUAAGUAUCAUGAAGAGGUUUUUUGGUUGGAUAGUAUCCUUGUUCAUAAAACUGGAUAUUGAAGUCAGUUGCUGAUAAAUUGGGUUCUGGUGGAUGUCUAUUGGCAAACCUCUUCUCUGAAUACACUCUAUCUUGUAUCCUCAUCUUGUGAACAUCUACAAGAAAGUGGAGGGUUAGAAAUAUCAUGUAUCCUCCAAGCAAGCUGCAAAAUUUGCUUACACAAGGCCUUGUCAUGGGUUAUAAGUGCUUGAACUUCUUCAUCUACGAUACUUGUAUUUUCUUCCCUCUAUAUAUUUGUACUUGAGGAUAAUCUUCUUACACUUGAAGAUCAUGCUUGCAUUGUUUUAUGUAUGUUUGACAAACCAAAAAAGGAAUCAGAAACAUAAAAUAUUUCUUUGACUGAAAUCAUGAAAAACUACAAUAUUGUUUGCAUUAAAUUACAUAGCUAGAAACCUAAGAUCUAUAUAUUUUAGGAGCACUUUUCUUAUAUUUUUUCAUUUUAACAUCUCUAAUUGAGGAUUGACAUCUCUUUCAGGAUACCCAGUUUAUCAUUCCAUGUAUGAUGACUUUGUAUGGAUGGAGAAAUUUGGAGAUCCUAUGUUCCAUAGGCAUGUAGCAGGUACUCCAUGCAAUUUCACUUCAGUACAGACCGUUCUGAAAAAUUCCAGCGUCACCUUUGGGGAUGUUUAGUUGCCCCAUUGUGCCAUACAAGAAGCAUCAGUCUUAUAUUAAAAAAAUUAGUUGUCAUCCUAGCCCAAGUAAUGACAAAUUGAUUCCUGUUUUUUUUUUUCAGUAGAAUUCCCGGUCCUUUCAUUGGCUGCCAUUUCCUGUUAAACCUUGACCUAAUUUUGUUUAACAUUUACCCCCUGAUAUACAGUCAGGCUUGCUCUUUUACACACAGCUAUGCCUGUUUUGCACACAUUUAUACAUGGGCCAGGGACAAAAAGGAAAAUGGCCAGCAAAACUAAGAGCGAGAAAUAAAACAGGCAGUCAACAAGGCCUAAGCCCUAAAUGGAAGUCUCCAAGGUCUGGGAAUUAAUUUCCCCAAAAUUCAGAUACCCUCCAACUUCUCAUCCCAGACAUCCAAAGUCCAAACACUGUACAAUUGUUCUCUGCAAGGAUGUACCCCCAUGAGGUCCAUAUGUAUGCUUUCUUUGGGGACCUUCUAAUUGACCUUUUGAUUUGAAUUCCAGCUCUUUUACUAUACGUGUAUGAGAGGUCUGACUUCUGAGCUACUUCAGAAGCUACUAUGUAUAUGGCCAUUAUGCUAAUAUCGGUUUUGGUUGGAAUCCAUCUUUGUGAGGUUUUAAUUGUACUAAAUGUUGCAAAACCAGACUGUCAGAACUCAGAAGUAUUAGAGCACCCUUUCCUGGUCUAGCAAUUAUAUGGUGAUGUAUUCCUAAUUCUGUUUCACAUUAGUCCAGCAUCUUGUGGAAUUUAGGUUUCUUGCUUUUGUUAUAAUAUUUAAAAACUAAUUUUAUAUACCUGAAGCUUUGCUAAUGUUGCUGUGAUGGAAACAAAAAACCAUCAUUUUUUCCUACUCCACCUCUUUUACCACCAGUUAUUUAUGACAAUGGCAGAAUCAAAGUGUUUGUGGAUCUUGUUAUUAACUGUUCCAUAUGAAGUAUUGGCACAUGCUAAGUUCAAGGUCAUGAGAAGAUUCAUUUUGAUUCCUUAUCUCUUCAAUCUCAUAUAGUGGCAAGCUUCUGGGGACUGGUUGCUUUGAGGCUUGCAGAUGAGGAGUUCUUGCCAUUCAAUUACAUCUCCUAUGCUUCAGAGCUCCAGGUAUAAUUUUCUCCUGUAACUCACAACGUACAGAUAUUCAUGCAGAUAUGCAGAACAAUCUGAACGUACUGAGAUCAAUAUGUGUGUCAAUUGGUGUAUGUCUGCAAUAUAUUCCUUUCUUCUGGGACAACACUUCUCCUGGCAUUCUGUUGCUUCGACAUACAUUUAUGGAAACACGACAUGGGGAUCAAGUGCUUAUUUGCAGGCUUCAGCAAUAUAAAGGACUUGCAUAUUUACCAACAUGAUUGGAGUGCAUGCCACAUAUGAACACCUAAAUUCAUGCAUAAUUGGGUAGCUGAAGAAUCUGACGGUGCCUUUUAUUGACAGAGAAGCGCAAAGAUAUUAGAAGAUGAUGCAUUGGGGAUGCCUGUAACUUUUGCUCCCUUAUACAAGUCUAUAAAAGAGCUCAAGAAGGCAGCCACCGAAAUAGACAACCAAAGAAAGGUAUCCUUAAAUCAAAAGAAGAUUGAAUUGAAAUCAUCGAUGUUUUUAAUUAACAGUCUUGUUGCAUUUUUAGGCACUAGAAAGGAAUUUUUUGUCAUUGAAUUGGAGGAAGGAUCCUUUGAAAGUCAGAGAGCUCAAUGAUAGGUUGAUGAUGGCUGAGCGGGCAUUUACUGAUAGGGAUGGACUUUUUGGUAGAGAAUGGUACAAGCACCUGGUAGGUUUUUACGUUUAGAAUAUAUAUUUUGCAUAAAUAUUGUAAACUUCAAACACAUCUCAUAUUUUACAGUACUAAUUUUCCUGCUGUGAAAAUAAUUUUAACAGAUUUAUGGACCUUCGACGCACGAUAGUUAUGGAUCUAAAUCAUAUCCAGGCAUUGAUGAUGCCAUUGAGAAGGCAAAGAGCUCGAACACUUCGGACUCAUGGAGUUUUGUACAGCAUGAAGUGUGGAGGGCUGCCAGGGCUGUGACCCAAGCAGCUUUAGUCUUGAACGGGAAAUUCACAUGAAUGUUCACAAAUCCAUCUAAAUGGUGUUCAAAGCUUUUGUACAGAUUCAUUAGCUGAACAAUCAUGUGAAUUACUAGGAAAUAAAUGCAACCAAUUUGUACAGCUAAUGUUAACAAAUUGUGGUAAGAAUCUAAUAUUGCUCUUUGUUUGUAUAUCUUGAGCAAAUACUUUUUAAGGGUAUCCUUACAGCUUGGACUAUCAUAUCAUGGUAAGAAUCAAAUUCUGCGGUUCCUUUUAUUUCUUGAGCAAAUAAUUUAUAAAGAUAUAAUUAUAUCAUUCUUUUCCACUUCUGGUGCUAUUGUGCUGUUACAAGAAACAUGAAUGAGACCUCGUGAAAUCAGUUUGACGAUCUUCUCGGUUCUUCAAAAUGGAGUUCAUGCAAGGGUAUCCUUACAGCUUGGAGCCUUGGACUACCAUGGCAUGGUAAGGAUCAACUUCAACGGUUUGUUUCACUUCUUGAGCAAAUAAUUAAAGAUGUAAUUGUAUCAUGCUUUUCCACUUGCAUUGUUAUUGUGCUGUUAGGAUGAACAUGAAUUAAGCAAUUCAAUCUCAAAAGCCAUCACAUGGUCUCGCAAGCAUAUUCGCUUAUUGAGUACUGAACUAAGUCACCCGAUGAGGGGAUAAAGGACUUAGGUUUCGUUUGGCAGAGCUUUUAGUGGACCGAAAAGCACUUCUGAUCCUUCAAAAGUACUUUUGGAUGGAAUAAAGAUGUUUGGUAAAAGAAUCAGAAAGCUGUUUUAGUUUUCCAGAAAUCUAAAAUAGCUUCUUGGGAGAACCUUCAAAAUGGAGCUUUUUCGGAAAAGCAUUUUUAGCAUGCGUUGGAAAAUUAUUUUGAUUUAUAAUUUUUUUCUUUUGGACCAAAAUACCAAUAAUAAAAUAUUAUAGUUACAGAAAAUGUCUCUUUAUAUUAUAAAAAUUUGCAAGAGUCCCAACAAAAAAAAUGAAAAGCCUAAAAAUUAGUUCAUAAAAAUAUUAUAUUAAUAAAAUAUUAACAUAUAAUGGUAAUAAUUAUAAUAUUUUAUAUUUUUAUUAUUGUAUUAUACUAUAAAUAUAAUAUUAUAUUACAUUAUAUCAUAAUACAUUGUUAUGUUAUGUUAUAUAAUAUCAAAUUAUGUUAUAUUAUUAUGCUAUAGUAUACAAUAUUAUAUUACUAUAUUAUAAUAAUAUUAUAAUAUAUUAAGUAAUAUUAUACUAUAUCAUAUAUUUAUGUAUUAAUAUAUAUUUAUUUUAUGAUGCUUUGUUGUAUAAUACUACACAAUGUUAUUUACGAUCAAUUUAUCAUACAAAAAGUACUUUCUCAGUUUGUUUACUAAACACAUAUUAAAGUUUCAUGGCAUUUUAGAAAUGUAGUUACCAAAUAGCUUUUUAUAAAAAUUCUACUUUCGAAAGUUCUACUGCCAACAGUUUUGUGAAAUGGAGCCUUAAACUCAAACCUCUUUUGGUUUUUUACUUUUUGCUUGCUCCCCCCAUGUAUUUGUAACCAUUCCUGCAAUGCGUCUAUCUACAAAUAAUAACUGAAGUUUCCUUAAGGUCCUUAGUGUUAUGUUACCAGUUAAUUACUUAAUUCACACUUUUGUGGCGUUAGUGUUCUCCCAGGUACAAUCGCAGAUGCCCAGAACGAUGGCUCGUCAACAGGGGAAUUUCCUGUGACACUGAAUGUAAUAUGAAUUUGCUUUCGCUAAGCCUGGAGGAAUUGGGACUGUUUCUUGCGGAAGUUUUAUCAUUGCUUCCAGCUCGGAUUGUGCCUUUGAGAUUCUCAUCCCGGUUUUAUGUGCCUCAAAAUCCCGUCAUCCAAAGAUUUAUCCGGGAAAACCCUUUCUCCUUAAAAAACUCCAAUUCAGUCUACAAGCAUCUAGGAGAUACUGAUGGGUAGAAGUCCCCAGAUAGCUCUCCUUGUUAUUCUUAUAAUGCUGUGGUGUAGAAGAUCUCCAUGGCCUGGACUGAGCAUCUCAUGCUUCCGAACAGCCGAACAUUCUCCAUAACGUUACCAACAGAAGUAGACAUUAUUCUUGUACACCUACACAUGUAUGGUCAUCCUAAUUAGUGCCUAAAAUAGUUCUCUUUGCACGCACACAGUCACACACGUGGGACACCUUGGGAUUGAAAUCUUAAUGAUAUUUUCAGCAAUUUCUCCAUCUCCUUGGAUUGUUCCACCGAGCCACUGGGUUUCAGGCGUGCGUUAAAAGGCCUGGAGGACGUGUUCGCAUGUAUGUUGGGGUUCACUACCACACAAACGUAAAGAACGUUUUUGCUUUCAGGCAUGCACCGGGCAUGCGCAACUUCACUUGCGCAUCCAAGCUUGAAGUAGAUGCUGAUGCCGGGGAUCCUGUCGCUUCUGGUGUCGGGGCGCCGUCCGCCGGGGAGGCGAUCGUGACGGCCGUCAGGGAACGGGCGGCACCAGAGGAUUGGCAACGCGGUGAGGGGGCACUGCUCUGCCGGCUUGGGCCUGGUCCGGGGGUUCCUCCACCUGACGUACACAGUGAGUCCCAAGUACAAAUCAUAGAUUAUAGUAUGGGUGAUCGAUACUCUCUCCUCUUGAGAGAAUAUUAAAUAGAGCGGUCUUCCUAUUUAGCCACAUAUUCUAUAGUGCUUAUCUUAAAAAAGAAUCCAAAAAUCAGAUUGGGACAAAACUUCUAUUAUUAAUGGAGUCUGUCGGUUGCGUGACUCAAAAAAAGAAAAAAAAAAAGGAAAAUCACAUGCAUAAAGAGAGGUAGUUCGCUCUCAUCCUCUCUUCUUCCUCAUCAAAGCCUCUAUCAAUCCAUCCUCUUUCUCAUCACGCCGUCUCUCUCAUCCGUGAAACCUUCCUUCUCCUCCUCGUAUUUCUUUCCUUCAAAUCUCUCUUUUUCAGGAUCAAAGAAUUAUAGUAUGUAUUAGAAAAUUGUUGAGUAUGUAUCAACUGGCUAUGUACUGUAUACUGGUGAACAUUAUAUUCUGUAAACUACAUAUCAAUUUAUCUAGAGGUGUGUGUUGGGAUGCUAUAUGGCUAUUUUGCAAGCUAGGUGUGUCACCUGGCCAUGUAGUGUGGACUAGUGAACAUCUUGUUAUGGGCACUAUGUAUCAAUUUGCAUUGAGAUGUGUAUUAAUAUAUUGUGAUUAUGUUGCUAGUUAUAUAUCAUCUGACUAUGUACCAUAUACUGGCGAACAUCAUGUUUUGAGACUGUAUAUCAAGUUGCCUAAAGAUAUGUAUUGGAUUGCUACUGAGUGUAUAUUAAAAAAGCUUACAAUAUGUAUCUAGAAGCCGAUGAAUAUGUAUCAUUUAACCAUGUACUAUGUAUUGUUGAACAUCAUAUUAUAAAAAUUGUGCAUUGAUUUACCUAUGCGGUCAUAUUAAGAUGUUGAAUGACUAUUUUGUUAGGUAUGUAUCAUCUAGCAAUGUGGUGUAUAUACUGAUGAACACUAUGUUUUGGAAACUAUAUAUCAAUUUAUUCAGAUAUAUGUAUUGGAAUGCUAGAUUACUAUUUUGCUAGGUGUGUAUCAUCAGAUAAUAUAAUAUAUACUGAAGAACAUCAUGAUUUAGAAACAGUAUAUCAAUUUACUUGGAGGUGUGUAUUAGGAUGCUGGAUGACUAUUUUGCUAGAUGUGUAUCACCUGAUCAUGUAUUGUGUACUGCUGAACACCAUAUUUUGGACACCUUCACAAAUAAGAAGAUUUGUAGAAGGAGAAAGGACUCGGCCAUCACCAGAUCUGCCACCGCCGACUUCUGGCCUUCACCAUCCUUCUUGUUCUCCACCUCGCUAUCUCUCCUCCCUUCCACCUACCACUCCCUCUUCCUCUAUUUCUCCAACAACGCCACCGUCGCCCGCCACCUCAUCGCCCUCACCCGCCGCCCCCACGUCGCCGGAACCCCGGCAAACGCCGCUGUCGCCGCCUACGUCCUCAGCACUCUCUCCUCCUCCUCCCUUCCCGCCCACUCUGUCUUAUACGACGUCUUCCUCACCUACCCCCUCGGCCGCUCCUCUUCCCGCCGACCCUCGCCUUCGACCUCGUCCAGGAGAUCUACCCCGGCGACCCCUAGCCGACGUGGCGAAGGAGGUGCUCCCCACCUUCCACGCCUACGCCUGCUCCGGCGCCGCCGCCGGCCCGGCUGCCUAUGCCAACUACGGCCGCCUGGAGGACUUUGCCGCCCUGAGGGCCGCGGGUGUGAACGUCACCGGCGCGGUGGUCCUCGCGAGGUACGGUAAGAUAUAUCGCGGGGACAUCAUAAAGAACGCGAAGGACGCCGGGGCGGCGGCGGCAGUGGUGUUCACCGACGCCAAGGACUACGGCGGCGGCGGGAGGGGCGGUUCCCGGAGGGACCGGGGAUGCCGGCGAGCGGUGUGCAGGUGGGGACCACGUCCGGGGUUGGCGACCCGACGACGCCCGGGUGGGCGAGCCCCGCGGGUGUGAGCGGUGGAGCGCUGCGGAGGUGGCGGCGAGCGGGCUGCCGGGGAUCCCAUCGUGCCGGUGUCGGCCCGGGACGGGGAGGCGAUCCUGAAAACCAUCGGGGGACAGGUGGCGGCCGAUGAUUGGCAGGGCGGCGAGGGGCGCCCCUGUACCGGCUCGGGCCGGGUCCUGGUUUCCUCAACCUCACAUACAUUGGAGAUGAAACAUUGCCAACAAUCCAAAAUGUCUUUGCGGUGAUCCAGGGGGAGGAAGAACCUGACCGGUAUGUUCUCCUAGGUAAUCAUCAGGUUGAUAGGAUCGACANNNNNNNNNNNNNNNNNNNNNNNNNNNNNNNNNNNNNNNNNNNNNNNNNNNNNNNNNNNNNNNNNNNNNNNNNNNNNNNNNNNNNNNNNNNNNNNNNNNNNNNNNNNNNNNNNNNNNNNNNNNNNNNNNNNNNNNNNNNNNNNNNNNNNNNNNNNNNNNNNNNNNNNNNNNNNNNNNNNNNNNNNNNNNNNNNNNNNNNNNNNNNNNNNNNNNNNNNNNNNNNNNNNNNNNNNNNNNNNNNNNNNNNNNNNNNNNNNNNNNNNNNNNNNNNNNNNNNNNNNNNNNNNNNNNNNNNNNNNNNNNNNNNNNNNNNNNNNNNNNNNNNNNNNNNNNNNNNNNNNNNNNNNNNNNNNNNNNNNNNNNNNNNNNNNNNNNNNNNNNNNNNNNNNNNNNNNNNNNNNNNNNNNNNNNNNNNNNNNNNNNNNNNNNNNNNNNNNNNNNNNNNNNNNNNNNNNNNNNNNNNNNNNNNNNNNNNNNNNNNNNNNNNNNNNNNNNNNNNNNNNNNNNNNNNNNNNNNNNNNNNNNNNNNNNNNNNNNNNNNNNNNNNNNNNNNNNNNNNNNNNNNNNNNNNNNNNNNNNNNNNNNNNNNNNNNNNNNNNNNNNNNNNNNNNNNNNNNNNNNNNNNNNNNNNNNNNNNNNNNNNNNNNNNNNNNNNNNNNNNNNNNNNNNNNNNNNNNNNNNNNNNNNNNNNNNNNNNNNNNNNNNNNNNNNNNNNNNNNNNNNNNNNNNNNNNNNNNNNNNNNNNNNNNNNNNNNNNNNNNNNNNNNNNNNNNNNNNNNNNNNNNNNNNNNNNNNNNNNNNNNNNNNNNNNNNNNNNNNNNNNNNNNNNNNNNNNNNNNNNNNNNNNNNNNNNNNNNNNNNNNNNNNNNNNNNNNNNNNNNNNNNNNNNNNNNNNNNNNNNNNNNNNNNNNNNNNNNNNNNNNNNNNNNNNNNNNNNNNNNNNNNNNNNNNNNNNNNNNNNNNNNNNNNNNNNNNNNNNNNNNNNNNNNNNNNNNNNNNNNNNNNNNNNNNNNNNNNNNNNNNNNNNNNNNNNNNNNNNNNNNNNNNNNNNNNNNNNNNNNNNNNNNNNNNNNNNNNNNNNNNNNNNNNNNNNNNNNNNNNNNNNNNNNNNNNNNNNNNNNNNNNNNNNNNNNNNNNNNNNNNNNNNNNNNNNNNNNNNNNNNNNNNNNNNNNNNNNNNNNNNNNNNNNNNNNNNNNNNNNNNNNNNNNNNNNNNNNNNNNNNNNNNNNNNNNNNNNNNNNNNNNNNNNNNNNNNNNNNNNNNNNNNNNNNNNNNNNNNNNNNNNNNNNNNNNNNNNNNNNNNNNNNNNNNNNNNNNNNNNNNNNNNNNNNNNNNNNNNNNNNNNNNNNNNNNNNNNNNNNNNNNNNNNNNNNNNNNNNNNNNNNNNNNNNNNNNNNNNNNNNNNNNNNNNNNNNNNNNNNNNNNNNNNNNNNNNNNNNNNNNNNNNNNNNNNNNNNNNNNNNNNNNNNNNNNNNUAUACCACAAAUCAUUUCCACCGGAUCUAAACCGGUUCUCCUGUCCGCUGGCCGCUUAGAGAGAUACAACCCCUAUCUUAAUUUAACACUCCCAUGGGUCGCCGUGCAUUCCAUCAAAACUGGCAAGAAAUCCAAUUAGAGAACUGUUUUGGAAUAAGUGUUACUUCUUUCCCAAAAUAUACGACAAGUCAUUUCCACCGUAUCUAAACCGGCUCUCCGGUCCGCUGGAAAGAGGCAGCCCUACGGGAACGAGUAUCCGACCGUCGAAGAAUUCGAAAUUUGAACCGUCGUCUCAAGCGAAUAAAAACCCUCCCCAACGGUCACUUUUCCUCGACUCCCUUGAGAAGGAAGACGAAGAGCAGUCAGUUUCCCGGUGGAUAUUUUCUUGCAAGGGAAGAAGGAGAGAUUUUUUUUUGGUGGAUUAAAAGGAGAGAUUUUUCAGUGGAAGAAUAAUCGAGGAAGAAGAAGGAUCUCCUAUUGAUUUCUCCAAGAAAUCUCUCUCUCCAAAUUCGCGAUUUGGCAUCGUCAAUCCCACCCCUUCUGGUAAAUUUCUUGUGGCCUUUUAGGUUUUUAGUCCGCCCUUCGUUUCAUUUCUCAUGGCAAUAUUUUGUCCGUAUGAUUCGAUUGUGGGAUUCUUUAGAUAUUCUCUGUACCUUUUCUUUUUGCUUUUUCUUCUUUUUGAUUGCCCUUUUUUGGUUUAUUCUUAUCUUUUUUUCUCAGCAAUUUUUUUUGGGGAUUCUUUAGCUGUUCUCUUGUAGCUUUUUUGCCAUUUUCUUAUCAAUUCUGGUUCCAGAUUCCCAAAGAAGAAACAUGGAAUUUACCCAAGACGCCGAUGAGAACAGUGGGCGUUUUCACAAAGUUAUGGGGCCAAGAUCACAGAAUCCGGGGAAAGGAACCAAGAACUCCAACCCUUCAACCACAUCAGCAAUUUCAAAGAAGAAGAUCUUGGCCGAGAAGAAUGAUUCUCUUCUCUCAGAUUCUUAUGAUCUCUACGACGACAUAACCUCACAAGAAAAUGCCGUGGUGGUUUCGGGCCAUCCUGGUGCCCAUUCUCGAGUCAUGCCCCUUUGUUCGAAGGUCUUCAAGUCUGGUGAUCAAAAUGCAAUCAGCUCUGAUUGUUCUCAUUUGGCUCCUUAUGAUCCGCUGAUCAAUUACACAUCCCCUAGGCCAGAGUUCCUCCGCUACAACCCAAACAGGUGUAAAGAAAUUCUUCAGCGCAUUGAGGGAGAGAUGAAGAAAGAAGAAGAGGGAUCAGAGGCCGACUGGAGCUCUUCAUCUGAUUCCAAGAAGAUUCUUCAGGGCAUAGAGGGAGAGAUGAAGAAAGAAGAAGAGGGAUCAGAGGCAGACUGGAGCUCUUCAUCUGAUUCCAAGAAGAUUGCCGCAGAGGAAUCGUCAUCAGUGUCUUCCACACCUUUGCAGACAUCCUUCCAAGAUAAAGAUGUUGGAGACGGUGAGGAAGGUAUUAGUGAUGCCCAGGACGACGAUGACACAGAAGAGGAGGAGGUGGAAGUGACGCAUUGGUAUUGUAGAAUUGCGUGGAGGCUGUUUCUUCUACUUGGGGUUUUGCUGCCCUCUUUCUUUUAUAUAUAUUUUUUGAAUUAUGCUUCUGUUCCUACUUUAAAAGAAUAUGGAGGCCUUGAAGAAACUCAUCAGAUGAUUCGAUAUGGAGGGCUUGAUCAACGAACCCAUAAUGGGAAUAAAUUUCCUGGAAAUUUCUGGGGGAUUUUAAUGGGAUUGUCAAAUGAGUGCUUUGACAUACAUUCCAGGGAAUUAUCAUGUCCGCUUGACGGCUUUAAAAGGGAAGUCCCAGAGGAGAAGGAUUUGGAAGAAGGAAUAUCAAUUAUCCAUCUCAGAAAUUUAACUGAAGAUGAACAGUUGAAUGAAAAAUUUCUAACGUUGGAGGAUACUGCUAGAAAGGAUGCGUCUGAGGAGAAGCAAUCCUUUGAUGGAAAUGGAACUGAACUAAUAACAGAAAGAUAUAGAGAUACAUUGCUUGAGAAUGGGACAUUAGGUGGUGUUGACUUAGUGGCUGAAGAAAUGAGUGAGGAGGUAGGUAGUUCUAAUGAGCUUGAGCAGGAACCAUAUAUUGAAGGAAACCCUGAGGCAGUUAAAGGUGCAGGGAGUGAAAAAGUUGAGAUUUUGGAAGCUGAGUCGGCAGAGGUACACAAUAUUGCUCAGCUUUUGAAAGAAUCUUCACAAGUUUCAGAGACCGAAUUGCUUUCAAUUGACUCGUCAUUUGGUCAAGAUGCACUCAAUGGAUGUGGUUCUUUUGAACCAAUGAAAGAUUUUGGAGAGGAAGCACAAAUUAUGGGCAAUUCUGGUUUUGAUGAAUCUUUGCAGAUUCCUCAGUCCAAGAUUGUUCCGAGCACAUCAUCCAAUAAUCAGAAGCUAGAAGAAUAUGAAAUCUUCAGUAAUUCUGAUAUAAAAUUGAAAUGGGACAGCAUUUAUCUGUCUGCAUCAAAGUAUGUGCUGCAACUGCUAUAUAUUUUGAUAUGUUUGUCAACAAUAAUUGUUUUUAAUGGAUUGCACAAAUACUUCUUAAAAUUUCACAAGAUCUCACCACCUGAAUCCCGCAUUCCUCCUGCACUCAAACCAGCUUAUGAGUUAGCACUUGAGAAGAAAAGUAGUUCAGUUGUGUCUGCGAAGAAAGAAGUGGAGAACAAGGGUAGUGAUUCAGAUGUUUAUCAGAUGCCUCUGACUCAUUCGAAUGAUGAACAAAUGAAGUUUAAAGGAGUUCAACCACCAGCAGUGGAAUUGCUUUCAGAGUUCUCAGUUGUAGAAGGAACUAUCUCUGGGAAAGGUUCUCGUCAGAAAGUGAGAAUGUUAGCUGCCUCAGCUGCAGAAUCACAGUUCUUUCAAUCUCAAAGGAAGAUUUCAGUGAAGAAGACCCUUCCAUCUUCAGCUAAUAAGGUUUAUCCAUCUCCUUUAGAGUUUUCUUCAUUAGCAACAGAGUCCACCUCAACUGGAAAUUCUACAGUUCGGAAGCUGCAAAAGAAAAAGGUAUUGCAUAGUUGAUAAUUAGCAAGGCAUUUGAUUGAUUGCAUAUUCAGAUAUUCAAUAGGUUCCGAGACUAAUACAGAGACUGUUUGUUACUCAGUUAACAGUUACAUGGAUCAUGCACAGAUAUUCAAUAGCAUAAUCAUAAUCAUGCAUCCUAAAGGUAGUCAAUAUGGAAAUAAGAGACCUUGUUAUAUUGGAAUCAGAGGUAGAUCAAGAUUGAAAAUGCUAAUCUAAGUGCACACUGGGCUGCUUCUCAGCGGUUGCAACUCUCCAUUAGAGAGGAGGUUCCAUGUUUGGACCUUAGGAGUUGUUUUGCCGUGUGUGUUUUGUGCGGGCUAUCCUUGCAUCAUUUCUUUCAAAUGAUUGGUGGUGUUCCCAGCAAUACCCUUAAAAAAGGGGAAAAAAUAAAAAGCUAAACUUAGGUCAAAGUAAAUUUUUUCUUAGCAUAAUCUUUCCCAUUAACUUUAUGAUAAACAACCACAUAUCUUGAACAUAGUGAAUAUGGGUAUAUAUGGAAAUGCUCGAGGCUUGUCAUAGUUGAGAUUAUUGAAUAGAGAUGAGGAUGGAAAUAAAACUCAGAAAAAGUACACAUGUGAAACAUGAUUGUGCUUUUGUUAAAUAAUUUGAAUUUUCUUUUUGUAGUAGAAAUUCAAGAUGCGCUAUAUGUUAAUGUGUUUGGGUAAUCUAGUUGGAUUGGGCUAGAUUUCUUGCUGGAUUCACAGAUUGGACAGCCAAUUUGAGCAUGGCCCAUGUCAACUACACCCUCCUAGCUUUAAUCCUGUGGAAGGAAUAAAAAGACCUCCAUGGGCCCUUUUUUCGUUUCUACAGACCAACAGGCCCAUGGUCUGGGUCAUAGACUGAGACGUGGGCUUUGAAGAUUGGGGCUGGGCAGGCUGACCGAUUCUUGCAGGGCAUCCUGCUGAAAUACCUAACAGACCCUUAGUGUAUAACCCCUUCGGACCUAUGGGAUUGGGGAAUAUUUGUGUCUGAAACCUUGAUUCUGACCUAUGGAAUAGUGGGGACUGAACUGCUUGCUAACUUUAUUCAGUAUUUCAAUCCACUAACUUAAAAAUGAUGAAUGGUGAAACUCAAUAUCUGAAUAUUAAUCAAGAUAGAUGCACAAGUCUUUGUUUUAAAAAAAAUUAUCCCAUAGUUGGUCUUUCAGAUUUUUUUAGAAAACUUGUGAUUGAGCAGGAAUAAGUAUAACCAUAUGCAUGUAUACAAUGCUAGAUGCACAUAUUUUCAUGAAUAGGAACAACAAUUAGCAAUCUCCCGUAGAAUUUAUGUGGCAGCUCUUGAAAAUGAGUUUUUGAUUGUUUAGACUUUGAGGGUACAUUCAUUAUAUCCGGUGGUUAAAAAUGCCUUCUUUGAAGAAGCCCAUCUUUCUUUCCAAUUAAACUACAGAAACUUAAUCCCUGAUCCUUCAUUUAUCUCCCAUUUCAUUUUUGGCAUGACAAGUUUCAAUGUGUAUGUGCAUUUUGAAACAUGUUACAAAAUGUUCUAUCUGCAAAAUUAUUCUGCCUUUCUCUCAGGAGUCAAGAGUUUGUCUGGAAAUAUGCUUGGGAGUGAAUUAUGCAUCAAUCUAGGUAGUCCUAAGAUGCUACGUUAAUGAUUCUGUGUGAACUCUGGUGGGGACACAGACCACCAUUUACAGCACGUUUACAAGCAUCGCCGGCGUGCAUAGCACUUUGGUCCAUAUGCAGGGGCCCUAGUGUUAUUUUCUUAUGUAUUUUCUUUUAUUUAUUAUGCAUUUUCGUCCUUAUGUUAGUUGCUAUUUUUAGCUGACUUGUUAUGGCUGCCUAGUGUUAUUUUCUUAUGUAUUUUUUCUUUUAUUUAUUAUGCACUUCCGUCCUUAUGCUAGUUGCUAUUUUUAGCUGACUUGUUAUGGCUGUGUUUAGUUAUUUAAGUAUCCCAUGUUGUUUGUUAGAUCAUGGGUAGUUACAUGAUCACUUGUUGGGAUCAUGGGUAGUUGCAUAGGGGGCUAUAUAUGGAACUCCAUGUCACUUGUUUAGUCAGAAUAUUUGGAAUGAAAAUAUUAUUUUGGCAAAGGUACUCCCGGAUUGGAGACCACUAGAGGAGGAUUCCUCGAAUCUGGUGGACUCCAGAUCUUCCCCCUUCCUUCUCUUCGUUUUUAGAAAUUUCUGUUCCGCAUCAGUUUGGUAUUAGAGCCAGCCAGGGCUUUGCCUCUAUGCUAAAGCCUUGAUCCUAUCUCCCUGAACCCCUCUCGGUUCACCCAUACCCGUCCUCAACCCAAAGAUCUGGUGCAUGGACAGGCUGCCUCUAUUUCGUAUGCCGCACAAGUUCUUCACGAAAUACUUUGCACCAUGGAUGCCGGAGCGUGAUGAGCACCGAUGACCAGCGCACAUUACGAAGAAAAAGGAGAGUCUUUCGUCCCUGUUCCCCUCCCUCUCAAUCAGUUUUCACCAGAACGAGUAAGGGGAGGUUGCUUCUCCUCUAAUUUCACCAACCAAUCAGGAGCUCGUGACCAGCCGCCAUCUAUUGCCGCAGGCCAUAGAGUUCGCUCUGCAGCAGUAGCCACAGAGUUCAGAACCACCUCCCGAAACCGUCGGGAGGUUGAGGGAGCACCGGUUAAAGAAAAAGUCCCUCAACUGUCACCCAGUUCAUUAGCUCGGAUCUGUCUCAGAAAAAAUAAGAGAAAGAAAGAAAGAAAAAAAGAGGCUGCACGUGAGUUGCACGUGCCCCGUCCCACGUGAGGCACACAUGCUCCAUCGCACAUGAGUUGCACACGCUAGUCACAAAAAAAAGAAGAGGAAAUACCUCUUCGUCUGCCUCACGAUCGGCCGCCCGCAGAGCUGCUGCCGGCAGGAUGCUGCGCCCACCCUUCGCUGCCACCGCUCCGCCUCUCCUCUUCGCCGCCAGGCCGCCCUCGUCCACCGUCACCGCUCUCCUCUGCGACCGCCCACGCUGGCCCGAUCGUGAGACUGCCUGUUGAACGUCCGAUGGCACGUUGCUCCGACCUGAGCUAUGCAACAACGAGAUCUCCCUUGAUCCUUGCCGGAUGUGCUUGACGGUCCCCCAUAAUACGCCACCCGGUUGCGCUGCCAUCUCCUUCAUCUUCUCCACUGUCUCCACCCUCCACCGACCCUCGAGUUCACACCGCGUCCUUUUCCUUCAGCUCACCGAGACCCCUCUCCCUCCCGUCUCUAAUUCCUCAAUCCCUAAUCCCCUUUCUUCUUCUCCCUCCCAUCUCACCGAGACCGCUCUUCCUUCCGCGCCGCCACCUCCGACCUCUGUCGCCGCCUCCGCCCACGUCGUCUCGCCGCUUCCAUCACCUCUUAAAUUGAAGAUCUCCUCCCUCGGAUCUUUUCUUUCUCCCGCGUCUCCCUCAGACGUCUUUCUUCCGCUGCCAAGAAGGAUCCAAAGCUAAUCCAGAAGCUUCGUCUCCCUUCUAUAUCAACUCUCUCGGGCGAGCGGGCCAACCCCCUCAGCAUUUGGCCCGUUUCCACGUGGGCUCAAGUGGUUCUUUUGGCCCGUUGCUCCGUGGGCCCGGCUUUCAGGCCCUUACACUUAAUCCAGCCCCUGCAACGUGUUGGGCCUCCAUAAAGAUACCCGCAGUCAACCGUCUUCCAGCAGCAUCCUCCACAAAUCGUCUGACCCCGGUUCUGCGCUCCGCACUCUGACAACCAAUCUCUUCCAGUGAUCCAGAUCUGUAAGAAAAGAUCGUAUCUUUCCUUUAAAUAAUUUUUCAGCCUUUCCCUAUACAUUAGUUUAUAUGUAGAUUGCUAUUUCUUUUACUUCAUAUUGUCGGUUAGAUAUAGGACCUUAAUUUUAUAAGAGCUGUGCCCCUUGAAAACACAUAUUGAGCCUCACAAGUUAUUUUUUUCAAAUCCUCAAAAGGCAACUAGAAAAUUUACUUAAAUCUGGUGAAGCCCUAAUCAAUUUGAAGGACCCCACUUUCAUUUGGUUAACCUGUGAAGAUUUUGCAUGACCCAGGCCAAGGUUGGCAGUAUCUAAGGCCCUGAUAUUUAGUUAUCACCUGUGCUAAUUCGAAAGUAAUCGAGACUCUGUCAUAAGUCUUUUAUUCAAGAUUGUUGAUUUUAAUCUGAAUGUUAAUUUUUAUAUCUAGAAUUUUCGUAUUCUAGAGCAUGACAACUUGCAGCGGUACAUCCUACUCACAUGAGAUGUCAACCAACCUAAACUAACAGGUGUUAGAUGCCAUUGCGGCAUUAGAAACCAAAUUAGGAGCAAGAAUUACUGACCUUGAAACUAGGAUGAACACUCGCUUGACUUUGGCUGAAAAUUCAAUCACCAACCUCCAAGUUACUAACAACGAUGGAGAGACUGAACUUGGUGAGUUUGAGCUGCCCCGCCCAAGAAGCCAUGGGCAACAAUACCAGAGGGAUUAUCUAAGAGCACGUGAGGCACCAGAUGUAAUGCGCAGUAUUAAGAUAGAAGCACCAAGUUACGAUGGUCGUCUCGACCCAAAAGUCUUCAUUAACUGGUUCGCUGAUAUGGACCAUUACUUUGAAUGGUAUAGUCUAUCUGAAGAUCGCAGAGUUCGUUUUGCGAAAAUGAAGCUCACUGGUCCCGCAAAGUUACAUUGGAAUACAGUAGAGAACAUGCUUGCUAGAGCUAGGCAACCCCCUGUGGUACAAUGGGAUGAAAUGAAGGAGAAAUUAAAGAAAAAAUAUCUCCCCAUAUCCUAUAAGAGUCACCUAUUAGAUCAGUGGCAACGAUUGACUCAAGGGAACAAACCUGUGUCUGAAUACAUCGCUUGCUUUGAUGAGUUCUUGAUGCGAUGCAAUGCACGCGAGAGUAUGGAGUUGACCCUUUUUAAAUUUAGGUCCGGAUUGUGAGAUGACCUACAAAAAGAGCUUAUUCUACGCGAGGUCAAUUCUUUAGAACAUGCCUAUCAACUUGUCUAAGACAUCGUGCGUUACAAUAAUAAGCCAACCUUCAGGUGUUUUGAUCUUAAGGAGUCAAACCACAAGUUCACCUAUGGGAGUCAAAUUAACACUUGGGGUAAGCCCAAUAUUAGAAAUCAAGCGAUAGAGUCUCAAAAAUUUAAUGAUCAGAAAAUAAGAGAAUUUUCAUCGAAGAAGAACGUAAUGAUGAAGGAGAUGAGUUGGUCUAUGAGCCUGAGGUUGACCAUGAAGAUUCAGAUGAAGGUGAGGAGCUCGGCUCACUUGAGGGUUCCACUCCUUUAGGCGUAGUUAGGUGUGUCCUUACACAACCUAAGCAAGAGAUGAUGACUAGAGGCGCCGAUCCAUAUUUCAUACCUAUAUCAAAUGUGGCAAACAUAGCUGUAAAGUUAUCAUCGACAGUGGAAGUAGCGUCAAUGUUGUAUCCACACGAACCGUCAAGAAGCUACAGUUAAAGACAGUGCCUAAUCCUAAUCCUUAUAAUGUAUCUUGGAUGGAUAAAACCCCCAUACCAGUCACUGAGUGUUGUCUAGUCCAAAUCAACUUUUCUGAAUAUAACGAUAAGGUCUAGUGUGAUGUUAUUUCCAUGGAUAUUGAACACAUCAUCCUUGGUAGACUAUGGCUUUAUGAUUUGGAUGUGACCAUUUAUGGUGAAUCCAAUUUCUGUUCUUUUGUUUACCAAGGACAGAAAAUUCGUCUGAACCCUUUGCCUCCUAAGUCCUCUACUGCUGGAAAGAAGGAUGUGAAGGUUGAAAAGCGCUUUCAAAUUAUUACUCCUAAGGAGUUUGAGAAAGCAGCAACACAAGAAUCCUUAAUUCUUAUGUUAGUUUUCAAAGAAGUUGCUCCUGAUUUCCAAAUAGAAUUUUCGAAUGAAGUUCAUCAUGUUCUGGAAGAAUUUAAGAAUAUCUUCCCUGAGGACCUUCCUGAUGAGCUCCCUCCUCUGUGUGAUAUUCAGCACGCUAUAGACUUGGUCCCAGGGGCAACUCUUCCGAACUUGCCUCAUUAUAGACUUAACUUGAUUGAACACGCUGAAUUGAAACGACAAGUUGAUGAACUACUCCAAAAGGGGUUCAUUCGAGAGAGUCUUAGCCCAUGCGCGGUGCCUGCACUUCUGACGCCAAAAAAAGACGACACUUGGAGAAUGUGUGUGGAUAGCAGGGCAAUUAAUAAGGUAAUGGUUAAGUAUCGAUUUUCGAUACCACGAUUGGAUGACAUGCUUGACAUGAUAGUAGGUGCCACGAUCUUCUCCAAAAUUGAUCUUAAAAGUGAUUACCACCAAAUCUGUAUCCACCCUGGUGAUGAAUGGAAAACAGCUUUCAAAACCAAGGAUGGACUAUACGAGUGGCUAGUCAUGUCUUUUGGGUUGACAAAUACACCUAGCACAUUUAUGCGUAUCAUGACUCAAAGUGUUAAGACCUUUCAUGGAAAAAUUGCUUGUAGUCUAUUUUGAUGAUAUCUUAAUUUAUAACAAAAGCAAGGAACAACACCUUGAGCACCUACAUUUGGUCUACAACUCGCUUAGAAAAGAAAGCCCAUAUGUGAACCUUAAGAAAUGUUCAUUUAUGACUGAUCGUGUUAUCUUCUUAGGGUUUGUCGUAUCUUCCGAGGGGGUUUCAGCAGACCCACAAAAGGUCCAAGCGAUUCUUGAGUGGCCGAAACCUACUACAUUAUUUGAGGUGCGAAGCUUCCAUGGCUUAGCCACCUUUUAUAGGAGGUUUGUCAAGAAUUUUAGUAUGAUCACUGCACCGAUUACGGAUUGUAUCCGGAAAGGUGAAUUUCAUUGGACCGCCGCAGCCUCAAAAGGCAUUCCAGAUCAAGACCAGAAUGAUAGAAGCCCCGGUCAAACGCCUUCCAGAUUUUACUAAGGUUUUUGAAGUCUCUUGUGAUGCAUCUGGUAUAGGUAUAGGUGCUGUCUUAAGCCAAGAAAAACAUCAUAUCGCAUACUUCAGUGAGAAGCUGAAUGAUCCGAAACGGAAAUAUUCCACCUAUGACAAAGAAUUUUAUGUAAUUAUACAAGUGCUGCGUCACUAGCGUCACUAUUCGUUACCUCAAGAGUUCGUAUUAUAUUCUGAUUAUGAAGCUUUGAGGUACUUGAAUUUUCAGAAACGAUUGAGUUCACGACACGGAAAGUGGGAUGAAUUUCUUCAAGAAUACAUCUUCGUGUUAUGUCAUAAAGCAGAAAUUGACAACAAAACAGCUGAUGCCUUAAGCCGACAUGUAGCAUUACUUUUUUUAGUAAGCAUAAAGGUUACUGGAUUUGAGCAUAUGAUUGACGAUUAUGCAUCUUGUCCAGACUUCGCUGAGAUCUAUGCUAGCGUGUUAGAAGGUCGCACCAGGGACAAUAGUACUACCUUGUGGUAGAUGCUUUUCUGUUCAGAGGAAACAAGCUGUGUAUUCCUCAAAUGUCCCUUAGAGAUUUUUUUGUUUGGGAACUCCAUGCAGGAGGAAUAGCUGGAUAUUUUGGUAGAAAUAAGACCAUUGAUAUGGUCGAACAAAGAUUUUAUUGACCUAGUUUAAAAAGAAUGUUGCGAAAAUUGUUAGUCAGUGUCGUACUUGUCACUUAUCCAAACAGUAACAUGGCUUAUAUACCCCCUUCCUAUCCUUGAUCAUUCUUGGCAGAACAUUAGUAUGGAUUUCGUGCUAGGGCUACCAAAGACUAGAAGUAAGCAUGAUUCCAUUCUCGUGAUAGUGGAUCGGUUUUCUAAGAUGGCUCAUUUUCUAUCCAUUUUCAAAACUUCUGACGCCUCCAAAGUUGCGAGGAUAAUCUUUGACGAGGUAGUUAGGCUCCACAGGCUUCCAAAAUCGAUAGUGACUGAUAGAGAUGUCAAAUUUGUUAGUUAUUUUUGGAAGAUCCUUUGAAAUUUUAUGAGUACGAAGCUUAAAUAUUCCACAACAUAUCACCCCCAGACAGAUGGUCAAACUGAGGUGGUCAACCGUAGCCUAGAAAAUCUUCUAAGAUGUUUAGUGGGUGACCACCCGGGUAAUUAGGAUCUUCUCCUAUCCACGACUGAAUUUACCUACAAUAGCUCGGUGAACAGGACCUCUGGCUUGAGUCCUUUCGAAAUUGUUUUAGGCUAUGUUUUGCGAAAACCUGUUGAUCUUAUCCUAAUAGCACCUAACAACAGAAUCUUUGAAACCGCUGAGUCCUUUGCUCUUCCUCCUUAUGUUCUUACCACCCUCUGAGUCUCUGAAGAAUUGACAACUUUUUUUUGAGUGCAAAAUGCCUGACAUAUGGGGCCUUUCGGGGAUCGAACAUGAGCAACCUCCUUCCCAACACAUGCAAAACUUACAUAAAGAGAUUAAUAAGAAAAUUGAAAUCAAUAAUGCGAGAUAUAAAAUGGCCAUUGACUUGCGUCGCUGAUAUCAAGAAUUUCGAGUGGGUGAUGAUGUAAUGAUCGAAUCAGACCUGAACGGUUUCCACCAUGAGCCGUUAGAAAAUUGCACCCCGAAGUAUGGUCCAUACAAAAUUCUGAAACGGGUUAGAUAGAAUGCAUAUGUGGUGGAUAUUCCACGUGAUUUUGGAAUUAAUCCAGUUUUUAAUGUAUAAGACUUAGUUGCCUACGGCAAUCCGAUAACUAUUCCUGAAGAUCUAUUUACUGAGCCUGAUAUUGACCUCACAUCCAAUUUUGAAAACACAUCUCUUGCUCCUGCCUUGCCUUCUAUACUUUUUUUCUCCGCAGAUCAUAGACACAGUGGAACAUAUUUUGGACAAUCAGAUUGUUAGUAUGCAUAGCGGUGGUUAUCAGCGAUAUCUUGUCAGAUGGCAUGGUUGACCUCCGUUAGAUGAUACCUGGAUUAGCAGAGAUGAGCUUCAGCGACUUGCUUCUGACCUGUUGGAGCACUAUUAGAGAUCCGUUUCGUCAGGGGCGAAUUCUUCUCAGCUGAGAAAAGUUGGUGGGGACACAGACCACCGUUUUCAGCACGUUUACAGGCGUCGCCGGUGUGCAUAGCACUUUGGUCCAUAUGCAGGAGCCCUAGUGUUAUUUUCUUGUGUAUUUUCUUUUAUUUAUUAUGCAUUNNNNNNNNNNNNNNNNNNNNACCACCGUUUUCAGCACGUUUACAGGCGUCGCCGGUGUGCAUAGCACUUUGGUCCAUAUGCAGGAGCCCUAGUGUUAUUUUCUUGUGUAUUUUCUUUUAUUUAUUAUGCAUUUCCGUCCUUAUGGUAGUUGCUAUUUUUAGCUGACUUGUUAUGGCUGUGUUUAGUUGUUUUAGUGUCCCAUGUUAUUUGUUGUAUCAUGGGUAGUUACAUGAUCACUUAUUGGGAUCAUAGGUAGUUGCAUAGGGGGCUAUAUAUGGGACCCCAUGUCUCUUGUUUAGUCAGAAUAUUUAAAAUAAAAAUAUUAUUUGGCAAAGGUACUCUCGGAUUGGAGACCACUAAAAGAGGAUUUCUCGAAUCUGAUGGACUCCAGAUCUUCCCCCUCUUUUUCUCUUUGUUCCCAGAAAUUUCUGUUCUGCAUCAAACUCCUUGUGGAAUCAGGAUUACUCUUUGUUCAUAUGUUCCUGAGUGAAAACUGUUGGUUUACGUCAAGCAGAUGGCUUGUGCACGCAUGCAUGCAUGCUUGCAUAUAAAUGUUAGGAUGUAUUUACCCAAAUUCAGUCUUGCUAGCUACUCAAAUUUGAACUUUAGAAUCACUUGUGACAUUCUGGGUGGACUAAAUGAUUUUUGACUCCUUUUAUUUUGGUGGUUAAGUAAAUCAGUUUUUGGCUGGGCAUAUUUGGGCUUUGUCUAGUACAAAAAUAUAACUGUCACAUCUGGAUUGACCUUGUUCAAAAGAUAUGCUCGAUGUUUACCGGUCUGAGGCAAAGUCGUGGUUCCUACUUAUAGAAUAUCUCCUUUGCAGAUUUUUUCCAUUUAAGAAGCUUAAUUAUUUCAAGAAAAUAAUCUUGGUGCGUGUGUCUAAUAGUUAUAACGUGUCUUGACGGAAUAGGAUGCUGGAGAUAGAGAAGAGCUAGUCAAGUUGGCAUCUACUCCUCUGAGGCGCUCAAGCCGACUCCGCAAACGGGUUACUUCUCCUUGAGCUGAAGAUGAGACAGCUCUUUAGUGCUGAUCGAAACAGCAUCCUGUUGUUGUUUCAUGUUCUGAUCUCUGACUUGUUGUAUUGACAAAACAAAUGCUUUCCUAUUAGUGCUGUACUAUGAGAAGGCUUGAGACAACUGAAUGAUUAUUUUUUACAUGUAAUUCUUCUCUCCUGCUUAACAGCUUUAACUCUGCAUGCAAAAGAAAGCUGAGGAGUUUCAGAGUGCAUCUCAUAUAAUUUUUGCCUCAUUAUUGCCGCCAUCACCUGCCUCUGAUAGUUUUGUCAACACGACCUUAGUUUUUUGUCUGCGUCAAUGAUUAGCCAGACAGGUUUGCAAGAUCUCUUCACUUGUUGAUUAAUGAGAUUUAUUUGGUGAUCAGAAUCUUCAUUAGAAGUAUGAGCUCCUUAUUUAUACCAGUAGCGGAAUGAUUUGUCCUGUAUUAACUCAUUUUAUGCUGCCUCUCUGACAUAGUUACAUCUGAGAAUUACCUUCUGGCUGGUGAUUGAAGCUUGGGUACCAUACAUUGCAAUCUGUUGUUGGAGUUUGAUACUUGGAGCAUCAACUUGUAUAUAUUCUUAUUCACGGGAUGGUCUUGAGGUCAAGGUUAUUUCUUCUUUCCAUUGGCUCUGGAGAAGCAUGUAGCGAAGGUUCAGAUGAUGGAAAUUAAGAGAAAUGGGUUAGUGUUAUAUCUUUAUAUUUACAUUUUCGUUUUUGUAAAAUCACCAAUAAAAAGCUCUGCAUCAUUUGCCAAUCCAGUUAAUUUUGUAAAUUGGUUCCCACUAUUUAAUAGCCAUGUAGUUUUUUUUUUUUUUAGUCACUAUGAGGUUUCAGGGUGAGGUGAAUGUUGUUAAACUCUCAUAUAAGGUGAUGCCAACGUGUUCAAUUUGUUUUUUACUACAUUUGAAUUGAUGCACUACUUCCACUGCUUUCUACCUGGAAACUCGUGGCUGUUAUCAUUGUUUUGACUGUUGGAGAGAGUUUUAUCUUAAAUAUCUUGAGUUCUUAUGAUGUCAUUAUCUCCGUUAUCAUGAUUCACAUCUCCGUUAUCUGUCUGCAGGUUAAGGCUAGGUACAUCGUAUAACGACGGAUGCAACUUUCUGAGUCGAGGUAAAAGCGUCACUCGUCAUAAUGAUUGUGGUUAUGCUGCAUAAUUUUACCAAUACCAUCCUUCUUAUUUUUUUUCUUUUUCUCAGUCCCAUCAGGGACCAGGAUAGAUUAUGAGCUACUCAAAAGGUGUGAUAUUGGAUUGUGGCAUGAGUCAACACCGGUUUAUGGAGAAGAUUUUUAUAUCUUCAGAUGACCCUAACUUUUCCCCAAAACGGGGUUAUCUGCUCGUCUCCAUCACCAUGCAUGCAUCUAAGUCCUACUGAUCUGUUCUUAUUCAGCUGUUGGAUUAGAAACCUACUACUUUCACUGGCCCACUAGAAAGGUGGGUGUGGUGUUACGUGGCACUAAGUUGGGUGUGAUGUUGCAUGCGACUAAAGGUUACGAGGAACCAAAAGCUCAAUGAUUGGGUGGGUCAGCGGCGACGAUUUAGAUUCGGUUCCAUGGCCUUUAGACCCCUUUUAAUUUGGUGUUCGCUUGUGCACGUGAAUGCAUAGCGAGAGUAGCAACCUCAUCAUCAACUUUGGCAUUGAAAAAAAUAAAAUAAAAAUAAAAACUUUGGCGUGUAAGUGACAAAUUGGUGAUUGACGGUUACCUAACUUUAUAUCAAAAGGAGUUUGAACAAUGCUGCCAAAAACUAUUUAUCCAUCAUCGAUCUAUAGUGAUACUGAACCAACCAAGAUAAAAUAGACAUAUAAUUCUGAAGAAUUGGAGGAAUUCUUGUCUUAAAAAAUUGCUUAUAGGAGGGCCCAGCACCUAAGUACAUAGUCUUCAAACCCUACAAGUGAUUUUUCAAGGUGAUUCGUCAGCUACCUCUCAAGAACACAAAAAAGAAGAAGAAGAAGGGGGAUGAUUAGCCAGCUUUAGGCUGGCAAGUAUUUUCUGUUUUUUUAUAAACGUGACGUACCACUAGUUCCCACCUAGCUUUUCCCUAAUAUGGUGGCUAUCCUUGGUGUUAGAUCAAUAAUAUAUAUCCAAGGUGUUUCAAAGGUUUAUAAGUCAAAAAUAUCUAGAUAAUAUCUAUCCUUAUAUUUUGUAAAAAAAAAGAAUACCAUCUUAGAUAUUUUACUAUAUAAGUGAGGAAAUAUAAUUAGUUUACUACCAGAAAUUUUGAAAUGACAUGAUAUAUUGACUAUUUUCACUUUAAAAAAAGAAAUGUUAACCAUCACAAAACUUUCUAACCCUAGGUCAUUAUUAUAAACAGAUAUAUAAAAUAAUGAAUUGUUGAGUUAUUAAAAUAAUAAGAUCUAAUUUAUAUAGUUUUAUUAAUUAUUGUGCUUAUCUUAUUUCUUUAAGACUUUUAAAUGAUCAUGGUCCCGUGGUCUUGCGAUGUGCACCAAUAGAUGGUUUUUUUUAUAUAUAUACUGGUCAUAUUGUCAAUUGUGUUGAACUUAAUAACAAAUAUGGUUCAUCAUUGAUCAAUUUAGAAUGUAUUUGCUAGAUGUGAUUUUAAGUUAAUGGAGCGGUUUAAGUCACUUUUAAGAUUUUUUUUAAUAUAGGUUAAUGCUUCUAUGCAUACAAUUGUUUGAAUCAGAGGACUCACGAAAUCAAGUUAAGCAAUGCAAUAUAUAUAUUAUUUUUGUUCUCAACUCUUGUAUUCAUAAUAUAUAUUUUGAUAGAAAUUAUGGACACCAUAUGAAAGAGUUAUUUGAUCCAAGUUUGUAAAAUUGAUUUUUUUUUGAAAGGGGAGAGUGAAUCAUGAGAUACUCCUCAAAUAAAAAUUAACUUUUGCAAGUAUCUAAAAUAAAAGUUCGGCAAUAUGAAGUAAAUAUGCUUUUAUUUUUAUUUAAGUUAUAAUAAGUUUUAAAAUGCAUUUUAUAAAUAUAUAUUUUUAAAAUAAAUGUAACCUUUUAUACUUUUUAGGUAACUAUCUUUUAUUUUUUUAUAAAAUUUAUUUCCAAUUAUUAUUAUUACUAUCCAUAUAAAAACGUAUUUUAUUUCCUUUUUUUUUAGGGUCCAUAAGGCAUGCUUCUUUGUUGAAAACUUCAUAAAAUCCAAAAGCUUCUAUGGACGGACAUGGAUGUCCGACCAAAGAUCCUGUAGAUUCGCCACUCCUCAUCAUUUGUACGAACGAUGUAACCAUAUAGAAAUAUAUUCGAAUAAAUAUAAAAAAUAAAUAGAUAUCAAUAUAUCCAUUAUGAAAAAAAAUAAUACUACGGUAAGGCAGAAAAAUGACAUAAAUAAAAUCACAUAAAAAAUUAUGGCAUGACUGCCAAAUGCCAAUCCCAUCCUACCUCAGCCUCCCUCCUCCUCUCAAAACUCAUUUCCGGGGGAGCGGGGGAGAGAGAGAGGAAAUGCCUCGCCUUGUAGAAACCCUGUUUCUCAGUCCCUCCACCGCCGCUGCCGCCAUCACCAGAUCUGCCACCGCGCGACUUCUGUUCACCGCCUUCACCAUCCUUCUUGUUCUCCACCUCGCUAUCUCUCCUCCCUCCAAAUCCACCUACCACUCCCUCUUCCUCUAUUUCUCCAACAACGCCACCGUCGCCCGCCACCUCAUCGCCCUCACCCGCCG